rnacentral:rRNA from 1 species
CCUACGGGAUGCAGCAGUAGGGAAUCUUUCACAAUGGGCGAAAGCCUGAUGGAGCAACGCCGCGUGCAGGAUGAAGGCCUUCGGGUUGUAAACUGCUUUUAUAAGCGAGAAAUAUGAUGGUAACUUAUGAAUAAGGAUCGGCUAACUACGUGCCAGCAGCCGCGGUAAUACGUAGGAUCCGAGCAUUAUCCGGAGUGACUGGGUGUAAAGAGUUGCGUAGGUGGCAUAAUAAGUAGCUAGUGAAAUCUGGUGGCUCAACCAUUCAGACUAUUGGCUAAACUGUUGAGCUCGAGACCGUGAGAGGCAUCUGGAAUUUGUGGUGUAGGGGUGAAAUCCGUAGAUAUUAGAAGGAACACCAAUAGCGUAGGCAGGAUGCUGGGACGGAUCUGACACUAAGGCACGAAAGCGUAGGGAGCAAACGGGAUUAGAUACCCCAGUAGUC